AGUGUGUAUGUACUUAAGCUAAUUUCCGCUUACUGAGCUGAUAGUAUAUUAAUGACCAUUCAACGCUGCUGUGCUGAUCCUCUGCUUGCAGUAUGAGUGCGGAAGUUGCCGUGGACUGUUCGCACACUUAACGACAGUACGGGGAAAUCGACUAAUAAUAUAUAAAUUAUAUCGUGUUUAAUGUUUAAUUGAAAUAUAUCAUAUUAUAUAAAAACAUCGAAUUAUUGUAUAUAUAAUAAAUAUUUAUAUUUCUAUGCAUAUAUUUAUAUAUUUUUAUCAAAGGUGUGUGAAAGAUGUGUCCUGAUACCAGAAACCCACAAGCAAAAUAUUUAAUUCCAGUGUAAUGCUUAAAAAAAAAUAAAAUAGUGACUAAAAAUUGAAUAACGCUUCAAAACCCUCUUCAAUGCAAUACGUCAGCUCUUAUGUUAAAAUGCUGAAACGUGACUUACCCGUGCUGAUACUCUCUCUGUUCAUCCUUUGUGGUUUCUUCAUAUUUAUGCAACAUACCUUCCGUGCCAGCGUUGCCAUACAAGAAGAUAUUAUAUCAAAAGAUAUGAGAAACUUUAACGUUGAAGAGAAUGGGCCUCCUGCUAAUGAAGUCUUUUUCGGCGAUGAACUUUUCGAGAAAGAAUUGCAGCGUCGUAAAUUAAUUGAACCGAAGGAUAGUCGCGAAUUGACAAUACUUACCGAAGCACCUUCCACAUUGGGGCAACGUUUAAAAAAAUUACUAAAAUGUAAUGAUCGACAGUUGAGGUUGGAGAAAUUACAGUAUGGUAAUUAUUGGCUGUUGCGUAAUUAUAUACGUGGAACGAUUAGCACAUCGGUUGGUUGCGCCGACACAAUUACAUUGACCACGAAUGGUGAUUAUACGUUCUUCGAUAGUUUGCCGUUCUUAACGGAACGUUGGCAAGCACCGAUCAGCUUCGCCAUAUUCUCACCGGGCUAUGACUUCAAUGCCACACUGAGUUCCAUUCAAUUUGUGCGUAAUUGUCUGCGUGAGAGUCAAUAUAUACGUGAUUACGUGACCUUCCAUAUAUAUUUUCCACCAACGGAUAUGCCUGAAUAUGCGCCAUUGACUGAAAAAGAGGCACUCUUAUGGCCGUAUGACUGCGAGGCGGUCCCACCCUACAUGGAUGUCGAUCGCAGUACAAUGUAUAAGACGGAGCAUAAUAUGACUUAUCCAAUAAAUGUUGGACGUAAUAUUGCACGUAAAUCGGUCAAUACAUAUUUUAUAUUUGCAUCAGAUAUUGAAUUGUAUCCAAUUCCGGAUUUACCGCGGUUAUUUCUCGAGAUGGUGGAGCGGAAUCGUAGUGUGUAUUUGGAUAAUAAAGAACUGCGCGUUUUUACAAUACCCGUUUUCGAAGUAACUAAAGAUAGUCAAGUACCUGAAACCAAAACACAAUUAGUUGAAAUGUUACGGUCACAUAAAGCGAUACCAUUUCAUUCAAAAAUCUGUAAGAACUGCCAUUUAGUACCUAAACAUAAUGAAUGGGUUAAUUCUUCAGAUACCAAAGAGUUGUUCCUCUUUUCGGUAACAAAACGUGAAGGUAAAUUCGUUUAUUGGGAGCCGUUCUAUAUUAGCGAUAAUCAGGAACCAAUAUUUGAUGAGCGUGUCACGUGGGAAGGUCAGUCGAAUAAGCGAAUACAGCUUCUAGAAGUCAUGCUGGAACUCACACCGUAUGGAAGUGGGAAGAUAAUCUCGUCGCAACAAAUGAAGGCCUUAAGUGAUGAGACACCUAUGCUUCUUGCCCAAAGAGACAGUAUUACCGAAAGGGUAAACUUUACAAAGAAGUUUAAAGUUAUCCUCGGCAGUGAGGCUGAAUGCAGUAGUUCCAUGCUUGACCUACUGUUAAGGGAUAGUACUAUUAAGUGGUGCACUGACGGCUCGUAAACGUAAGAAGGCAGUGGUGCAGCCAUCGUAAGACCGCGUAUCAAACUUUCAUCAUGGGGUGUUUUCCCAGCAUUUUCCAAGCAGAAGUCUUUGCUAUAAGACGGGUGUAGCAGCUAUCGCCAUGAACGUAUUGUCGUACUCAGUGACUUAAAGCGAUCUUAGCUUACGAAAUUACAUUGCUUUUGGUGAAGAAGUGUAUAGAACGUCCAAUCAGUUCGCAACCGGGUGCACCUCGGCUGGGUGCCAGGUCACAAAAGGGGAAACCGGGAAUGAACCAAUUGACGAGCUUGAAUGCUCAGCAGCUGUCUCCAGGAUGGCAGGACCGGACUCCUGCAUAGCAGUUGGUCCCCAUACCAUAAAGGAGCUGCUUCACAAGGAGGAGAGAGUGGGUAUGGAAAAGUACUGGCAAAAACUCACAGGUUUAAGAAGAAUCUGUUUAACAUGGGUAUAGCGAACUGACGGUUUUGCGACAUCGGGCUGGGAACUCCCGUCAACCUGAUUCUAGAUUGCGCAAUCGUCUGUAGACGCAAGUACGAUACUAGGAUAGGAAUUUAUCAGAGUGCUGGGCCUAUGUGAGUCGUUGUGACAGAGAGCACAAUAUACGUCAAGUCGCGGUACAAGCCUCAAUUUAUUUCUAUCUAUCUUUGCUAAUUUAUUUCGAUAUCUUUUAUUAUCGAUCACAUUUUUAUAAACGUAGGUUAAAACCCAUUUCCUAGCUAGCAUUUCACACUGGGUUUGCAGGUUUAAGAAGAAUCUGUUUAACAUGGGUAUAGCGAACUGACGGUUUUGCGACAUCGGGCUGGGAACUCCCGUCAACCUGAUUCUAGAUUGCGCAAUCGUCUGUAGACGCAAGUACGAUACUAGGAUAGGAAUUUAUCAGAGUGCUGGGCCUAUGGCUACGCUAUGUGUUUGCUGAAAUAUGACUACUUCGUAUUACAUCCCGCCUUUUUGGUGCACUCACCAGGCAUCAAAUAUUUUGACAAAAA